rnacentral:rRNA from 1 species
UACAUGGGGUGCAAACGUUGCUCGGAAUCAUUGGGCGUAAAGCGCGUGAAGGCGGUUACUUAAGUCGGAUGUGAAAGCCCUCGGCUUAACUGAGGAAGUGCAUCCGAAACUGGGUAGCUAGAGUACGAAAGAGGGUCGCGGAAUUCCCGGUGUAGAGGUGAAAUUCGUAGAUAUCGGGAGGAACACCGGUAGCGAAGGCGGCGACCUGGGUCGAGACUGACGCUAAUACGCGAAAGCGUGGGGAGCGAACAGG